CAUGCAAGUCGAACGAGAUCUUCGGAUCUAGUGGCGCACGGGUGAGUAACGCGUGGGAACCUACCAUUCUGUACGGAAUAACGCUUGGAAACGAGCGCUAAUACCGUAUACGCCCUGUGGGGGAAAGGUCCGCCGCAGAAUGAGGGGCCCGCGUCCGAUUAGUUUGUUGGUAAGGUAAAAGCUUACCAAGGCUACGAUCGGUAGCUGGUCUGAGAGGAUGAUCAGCCACACUGGGACUGAGACACGGCCCAGACUCCUACGGGAGGCAGCAGUGGGGAAUAUUGGACAAUGGGGGCAACCCUGAUCCAGCAAUGCCGCGUGUGUGAUGAAGGCCCUAGGGUUGUAAAGCACUUUCAAUGGUGAAGAUGAUGACGGUAGCCAUACAAGAAGCCCCGGCUAACUUCGUGCCAGCAGCCGCGGUAAUACGAAGGGGGCGAGCGUUGUUCGGAAUUACUGGGCGUAAAGGGCGCGCAGGCGGUCAAUUUAGUUAGGUGUGAAAGCCCCGGGCUCAACCUGGGAACUGCACUUGAUACUGGUUGACUAGAAAACGGAAGAGGGCAGUGGAAUUCCCAGUGUAGAGGUGAAAUUCGUAGAUAUUGG
rnacentral:rRNA from 1 species